rnacentral:rRNA from 1 species
GACGAACGCUGGCGGCGUGCUUAACACAUGCAAGUCGAACGGAAAGGCCCUGCUUUUGUGGGGUGCUCGAUUGGCGAACGGGUGAGUAACACGUGAGUAACCUGCCCUUGACUUUGUGAUAACUUCAGGAAACUGGGGCUAAUACCGGAUAGGAGCUCCUGCUGCAUGGUGGUGGUUGGAAAGUUUCGGCGGUUGGGGAUGGACUCGCGGGUUAUCAGCUUGUUUGUGGGGUAGUGGCUUACCAAGGCUUUGACGGGUAGCCGGCCUGAGAGGGUGAACGGCCACAUUGGGACUGAGAUACGGCCCAGACUCCUACGGGCGGCAGCAGUGGGGAAUAUUGCACAAUGGGCGGAAGCCUGAUGCAGCAACGCCGCGUGCGGGAUGACGGCCUUCGGGUUGUAAACCGCUUUCGCAUGUGACGAAGCGUGAGUGACGGUAAUGGGUAAAGAAGCACCGGCUAACUACGUG